AGCUCCAUAAAGCCGCGACGGAUCUCCUCCUGCAACGUCCUACUCAGAGUAUCUGCCAUGCUGCCUCUCCACGUCUCCUGUGCUUGCGCUAUGGCGACAUUUACUCCUGAGAGAAUCUCGGAGGGCAGUGCGUUCGAUUGGCCUGGCAAAUUCCAGCUGUCGUCUUCACGCCCCUCAGCGCCCUGUGUGUCCCCGCCUUGCAUCUGUCCUUGGAGGUUACCUGGUGGAGGAGUCCUGCGAGUCAUUUUCUGCUUAGACCGCAAGUUGUACGCGCUCAUCAACCUAGCCCUGUAUUUCCCUACCUCGAACUAUCCUACUUAUCUUUUUAUUCAAUACAAUUAAUUAUCUACUCUUCUUUCCAGAACAAUCGCAUAAACACUACCUAUAACGCCAACUCACUGAUCUUCAGCACAAAAACGUUUAAUACGGCAAAAACACUAAUAAGGGGGAAAGGAACCACAACUACUACUAGGGCCAACUCUGCACAUGGUGUUCUACGUCUUUUCCUGUCCAACGUCUAAAAUUUGGCGAGCGCUGUUGACUGAUCUUAUCUUCCUUGAAAGAUUAAGAGUCAAGGGCGCUCACUUCCCUACAGUCGCUGUUUCCGCCUACUUCCCUACUGAAUGUUCGUUGCGGGAUGUUGUAGCUGCUCCGAGUGCAACGCGUGGCCGACAUCUGUCCCCACGGGCCACUCGGAACAAAAAAUCUCCUUGAGAAUCUACUCUCCCGACUCCAUCCAGCGGUUCUCCUUUUGCACACCAGGCACCGGGCCGGUUGCUAACUGGCUUUUGGAUUCUCCUCUGCCAGUGCCAAACCAAAUCCCCUCUUGAGAUUGCCUGCUUCCCGUUGUCAGAUAAGUGCCGAAACAUCAAACAUCAAAAAAAACUAUUUACUUUGUGGAUUUUUUUCUUGCAUCCUCAGGUCCCUCCGCGCCGUGCUUCUGUGAGCCAACUCGUCGAGUCCCUCACAGGCCACCGGAACACCGAUGGACCCCAGAUUGCAGAAUACCACUCGAGAUCUAUCUUCUCUGCUGGAUAUUUAUAACUUCUUCGACGUCCGUAUGAUUCGCAUCCGUACUCUCCCUCUUUGAUGGUCGAGCCAGGACUGCGAGUCCACUUCCCUGUCUCAGAUUGGGCGCCAUUAUUGUUACGAACCUUUGUUUUUCUUUGGGGCAAGGCCGGCUAGCCAGUCAUCCCAGGGCUGGAUACUUCCCAAGCCCUCAGGUCGCACAACAACCAACUGAUUGGACAUCUCGAACAAAAUGAAACAACAAAAAUAACCGACAAAAAAAAACUGAAAAAACGGACUCUACUCGACAAACAACAUUACAGUCUUCCCUCAACACAGACUUGGACCAGGUCGAGGUGUCGAUGUUUUACCCCCGACGCACCCACCCUACCUGAGAUCUGAAUCACACGUUCCGGAUCUCCCUGCCAUUGGCAAAAACCUUACCCUCUCGUUGCUGUGGCUCCUCUUCCCCCCAUACGAAACGCUUAACAAUUCAUUUCUUCGUUAUAAUCUUCACUUCAUUUCCUAUUUUCACACGAUAUCAUUUCUAAACUAGGCCUGCCUAUUCAUCCCCCCUCAUCUUAGUACUACUGGCGGUUAAUAAAUAAUUAGAUUAAUAGGAAUAAAUAAUAUAAUAAAUAUAAAUAAAUAGGUUACAUAUAUAUAAUAAAUAUGGACGGACUUAAAUUACAUAUACUUAUAACUAGA